rnacentral:lncRNA from 1 species
AGCUGCAGGAAUGUGCAGAAUAAUGCGCAAUACCCGCGCCGAAAUUCAGGCCCAGCUUAAAGGGGAGCGGUUAUGGCCAGGGGAGCGGCCAGGGGAGCGGUUAUGGCCAGGGGAGCGGCCAUGGCGAGGGAAGCGGUCAUGGUCAGGGAAGUGGAAGUGGUCACGGAAGCGGACAGGGGAGUGGUUAUGGCCAGGGGAGCGGCCAGGGGAGCGGUUAUGGCCAGGGGAGCGGCCAUGGCGAGGGGAGCGGUCAUGGUCAGGGAAGUGGAAGUGGUCACGGAAGCGGCCAGGGGAGCGGGUAUGGCCAGGGAAGCGGGAGCGGCCAGGGGAGCGGGUAUGGCCAGGGGAGCGGGCAUGGCCAG